rnacentral:rRNA from 1 species
GACGAACGCUGGCGGCGUGCUUAACACAUGCAAGUCGAACGGAACGGCCCUGCUGGUGUGGGAUGCGCGAGUGGCGAACGGGGAAGUAACAUGUGAGUAACCGGCCACUUACGUUAGGAUAACUUCAUGAAAGUGAGGCUAAUACUAUGGAGUAGUACCUUUUUCAAGGCUGGGUGUGGAAAGUGUAGGCGGUUGGGGAUGGACUCUCGGCGGAUCGGUUUGGUGGUGGGGUGGUGGCGUACCAAAGCUGGGCCGGGUAGGCGGGCUGAGAGGGUGGACGGGCAAAUUGGGACUGAGAUCAGGCCCCGACUCCUAAGGGAGGGAGGAUUGGGGAAUAUUGCAACAUGGGAGGAAGACUGAUGUAGCAAAGCUGCGUGUGGGAUGAGGGCCUUUGCGUUGUAAACCGCUUUCGCCUGUGACAAGGCGAGAGUGACGGUACUGGGUGAAGAAGCACCGGCUAACUACGUG